rnacentral:rRNA from 1 species
GACAGCAGCAGCCGCGGUAAUACGUAGGUGGCAAGCGUUGUCCGGAAUUAUUGGGCGUAAAGGGCUCGCAGGCGGUUUCUUAAGUCUGAUGUGAAAGCCCCCGGCUCAACCGGGGAGGGUCAUUGGAAACUGGGAAACUUGAGUGCAGAAGAGGAGAGUGGAAUUCCACGUGUAGCGGUGAAAUGCGUAGAGAUGUGGAGGAACACCAGUGGCGAAGGCGACUCUCUGGUCUGUAACUGACGCUGAGGAGCGAAAGCGUGGGGAGCGAACAGGAUUAGAUACCCCUGUAGUCCCUGUCUCUUAUAA